rnacentral:sRNA from 1 species
GCCGGGUGUGGUGGCGCACACCUGUAAUCCCAGCUACUCAGGAGGCUGAGGCAGGAGGAUCGCUUGAACCUGGGAGACGGAGGUUGCAGUGAGCUGAGAUUAUGCCACUGCACUCCAGCCCGGGCGACAGAAUGAGACUCAGUCUCAA